rnacentral:lncRNA from 1 species
GUUUAUGACCUCAUUUAACCUUAAUUAUUUCCUUAAAGGCCCCAUCUCCAAAUACAGCCAUAACCAGAGUUAGAGCUUUUCAACUCAGCUUUUUUUUUUUUUUUGAGGAUAAUUGCUUUAAAAUGUUGUGUCAACUCAGCUAUUUGAAUCUCUAUAGACAGAGAUUCAGUCUAUAACAAUACAUACCGGCCUCAAGCUUCCCCAUCCCUCAGAGUGAUGUGUCUGAGUGAGCUUCCUGCAGUCACACCCAGAAAGUGACUUGAUCCCAACAACUUGUCUCAAGGUCUGCUUUGGAGAGCACUUCAAACCAGACAAUGUUUCUAAAAAUCAGCGAAUUGAAUCUCAAGUUACGCCCACAGGUACUCAGGCCUGCAGGUCGUCCCAUAUCCCUAGUCCUGGGGUAGCAGUUGUCCUAUUCUGGUUCACGGUCAGAGUAUCUCCUACUGCAGGGUGGGGUACAUGGGUGUUUGAGAGACUUUGGAAAUAGGUCUGCACUGAGGAAGAGGUGAGGCAAGUACUGAGAGCCAGUCCAUACAAGGAAAUACUGUACCCACCAAGCGCAUCGGAGACAGCAGGCAGGACUCCAGUCUCCCAUGGAAUCCCAGAGCAUCCUCAGAGAUGAGUUGAAGACAAUUACUAAGAAGCAUGUGAAACAAGACCAAGUUUGAAAGUUCAAAAUAUGUUUUCCCUGGAAAAUUGUUGUUGGAAAAUUAAUUUUAGAGGAUAACAAUAAAGGCUGUUAUGAUUUUUGUUACUAUUGAUUAAUUGUGCCUGUUUUAAACUUUAUAUGAAUGAAAAAAUUCAGUAUGGCAUAAUUUUGUGCCUGACUUCUUUUGCUCAAAAUGAUGCUUGUCGUUGAGUGUACUAACCGUAUAUUAAGGAACCUACUAAAAACAAUACAAAAUUGAUUAUAAAGGUAAAUCUUGAAAAUUUUAUUCUUUUCAUCUCUCAUAUUAAGGAAGAGAAUAUAAAUAAUCCAAGUAAGAUACACUAUGUGAGAAAAUCUUGUGCUUUUCAACAUGUUAUAACACUACCAGA